UACGUAGGGUGCAAGCGUUGUCCGGAAUUAUUGGGCGUAAAGAGCGUGUAGGCGGUCCGGUCAGUCGGUUGUGAAAGUCAAGGGCUCAACCCUUGAAUGCCGGCCGAUACUGCCGGGCUAGAGUCCGGAAGAGGCGAGUGGAACUCCUGGUGUAGCGGUGGAAUGCGCAGAUAUCAGGAAGAACACCAACGGCGAAGGCAGCUCGCUGGGACGGAACUGACGCUGAGGCGCGAAAGCGUGGGGAGCGAACAGG
rnacentral:rRNA from 1 species